AUACGAAGGGCCCGAGCGUUGCGCGGAAUCACUGGGCUUAAAGGGUGCGUAGGCGGACCUACAAGUGUGUUGAGAAAUCCCACGGCUCAACCGUGGAAUUGCUUGGCAUACUGUGGGUCUUGAGGUCGGCAGAGGUCGCCGGAACUCUAGGUGUAGCGGUGAAAUGCGUAGAUAUCUAGAGGAACGCCCAAGGCGAAGGCGGGCGGCUGGGCCGAUUCUGACGCUGAGGCACGAAAGCGUGGGUAGCGAACGGGAUUAGAAACCCCGGUAGUCC
rnacentral:rRNA from 1 species